rnacentral:rRNA from 1 species
GAUGAACGCUGGCGGCGUGCCUAAUACAUGCAAGUCGAGCGAACAGACGAGGAGCUUGCUCCUCUGACGUUAGCGGCGGACGGGUGAGUAACACGUGGAUAACCUACCUAUAAGACUGGGAUAACUUCGGGAAACCGGAGCUAAUACCGGAUAAUAUUUUGAACCGCAUGGUUCAAUAGUAAAAGACGGUUUUGCUGUCACUUAUAGAUGGAUCCGCGCCGCAUUAGCUAGUUGGUAAGGUAACGGCUUACCAAGGCAACGAUGCGUAGCCGACCUGAGAGGGUGAUCGGCCACACUGGAACUGAGACACGGUCCAGACUCCUACGGGAGGCAGCAGUAGGGAAUCUUCCGCAAUGGGCGAAAGCCUGACGGAGCAACGCCGCGUGAGUGAUGAAGGUCUUCGGAUCGUAAAACUCUGUUAUUAGGGAAGAACAAAUGUGUAAGUAACUAUGCACGUCUUGACGGUACCUAAUCAGAAAGCCACGGCUAACUACGUG